UAAAGCUUUACAGAUAAUCAUCACCGAAAUUAUCUUAUUGAGUGAAUUCCAACGUCGGUCGAUCAAUUGAACACGGUUCUCGCUGAGUGCAAAAAAAAAUAUUUGUUUUCCUCCUAUAUAAAAACAUGUGAAACGCUAUACAAAAAUGUUGAAGAACUAGAAAAAAUAAUUUAAAUUUUACUAGUCCAAGCCCGUCUUUAAUAAUAUACUUUAAUACUUGUAGACGAUUUCUACACGCGUCGAAGCUACAGUACCCAAUCGACGUCUCAGUCAUCAGCCACAAAGUCUUCCGCCCCAUCGAAGUCGGUUUCCACAGAGACAUCUGGAGGUGAAAAAUUUAAUAAAAAAGAGCAACUAAAACGGGCAUUUAAGGAAUAUGGAGUUUCCAUUGUGGCGUUCCAUGCGGGAAUUUCGUUAAUUUCACUUGGAGGUUUCUAUGUACUCGUAUCUAGUGGAAUAAACUUGGUUCCCGUUCUGGAAUUUCUUGGCAUAGCGUCACCAGCAAUUGCAGAGAAAGUAGCUACAGGAAGCUCCUUUGUUGUGGCCUACGCCGUACACAAAGUAUUUGCACCUGCUAGAAUUAGUAUUACGUUGGGUGCAAUACCGUUCAUCAUCCGAUAUUUGAGAUCAAAAGGAUUCCAGUUUUCAAAAAUCAAAAAAAAUUAGCUAUUUUUAAAUAUUUGUUUUUAUACCAUUGUUAUCAGAAUUAAGUAUGAUGUUAUAUAAUCCUAUGAAGUUCAAUACUUUAUAAUUUGGUUGACCAAAUAAAAAGGUGACACUCAAAUUAAAA